AGAGGUAGUUCUCAAGAAGGGAAAGGGCACUUCAAAAAGAGAAAACAGGUGGAGCCCAUGACAACAGAGGGCUUCCAAAGUGCCACAGUCUUCAGGAGUGUGGGUCCGUGGAUCAUGCCCUCUUUUGUCACCCUAUGCUGAGCACAGUGACCUCUUACAAAGUCCAUAAGAUCAUCACUGUGGGAGAAAACCAGCUAUCAUAUAUUGGAGGGCACUCCAGCAACUCUAUGAAGAGACUUGCAGGAGAAGAAACUGAGGCCUCUGGCCAAAAGAUAGUGAAGACCUGAAGCCUCCUGCCAACAGCAAGAGGAGUGAACAUGGAAACAAAUUCUCCAGCCUCAGUCAAGCCUUCUGAUUACUGUGGGCCGAGCCAACAUCUUGAUUUCAAUCUCACAAAAGACCUUAAUUCAGAGCUAGCAGAUCUUAGGAAGACUCAAGCUGGUGUUCCAGAGAUCCAUUCACUUAAACAACAGGCCUCCUGAGAAGUUUCAAAGGUAUUGUCCUCAGGAGCCCCAGCAGAAGCUCAAGUUAGAGCAGGGCUUAUCAUAAAGAGACUCGUGGGGAAGGUCUGUCUAAUUGCGUGAGCCCAAUAAGGUUCACAGGAGACCUACACAACUUUAAAGAUAAUUGCGUCUAGAGAAAUGCUACCAGCUUGGACUGAAGGAGAUAGAUCAAAAUGAAGAGAGGCUUUUGUAUCUUCAAGCUUCCAUAGGCAGGGAGCAGGCUGAGAAACUAUGCAGCUGCCAACAUGGGCUGCCUCUCAUGAGUGAGGAUGGCUCAGAGGGCAGUGCUAGAAGCCAUGAAGAAUAAUCAUUCCCAGGCCUCAGGUCUUAAAGUACUGCUAAACUGUGUCUGGGUGGGUUUGAGAUGUUUCCCAUUUUCAAACAGAAGUAUAUGGCAGUUAUCCUAUGCCUAUUUUCCUGUUUGUUUCAUUUUGUUUUAUUUUCGGGGGGGUUGCUUAUUGUUGUUUUAACAAAAAUGUCCAUGAUGGCUAUCCUCCACCUGUCCUACCAUUAUAAGUUGUGUGUAUGGGAACAGAUAAUCUGUCGCUCUAAUUCACACAUCUUCAGAUCAAAUGGAACUAUACUCAAGGAGCUACACUUAAGGAGACACAUACAAGAAGCCCCAUGUGAAUCAGAAUUAAAUGCUUAAAUCUUGGAUUUCCAGCUGAUGCCAUAGAGGGAUGAGACUUUCAGGAGGACUGGGGUGCAUUUCCUUGAUGAUUAGUGAUGUUAAGCAUAUUUUCAUAAAACUAUUGACUAUGUGUGUCUUCUUUUUAAAAAUGACUUGUUUGGGGUGCCUGGGUGGCUCAGGUGGUUAAGCAUCUGACUCCUGGUUUUCGCUCAGGUGGUGAUAUCAAGGUCAAGAGAUUGAGCCCUGUAUUAGGCAGGGUGGAGUCUGCUUCAGACUCUUUCUUUCUAUCCCUCUUUCCCUCCCACCUCUCUCAAAUAAAUAAAUCUUUUAAAAAAU